rnacentral:rRNA from 1 species
CUUGAGUGCAGAAGAGGAAAGUGGAAUUCCAUGUGUAGCGGUGAAAUGCGCAGAGAUAUGGAGGAACACCAGUGGCGAAGGCGACUUUCUGGUCUGUAACUGACGCUGAUGUGCGAAAGCGUGGGGAUCAAACAGGAUUAGAUACCCUGGUAGUCCACGCCGUAAACGAUGAGUGCUAAGUGUUAGGGGGUUUCCGCCCCUUAGUGCUGCAGCUAACGCAUUAAGCACUCCGCCUGGG